CUGAGGGGUUGUAGGUUGGUAGCAUUGCUUGCCCGAGUGUGCCAGUCAGUAGUGUGCGUGAUCGCGUCGAUACUGCCAACCUUAGCGCGGUGAAUGUUCACGUCCCCAACACACGGAAUCGCAAUCAAAUGUGGGGAGAAUCACUUCAACAUGGUGCUUAGAUGCAAGAUGGCUGCCGUGACGUCAUGCUGAAUGCUGAGCUCGAUGACGCUUCUGAGGAGUCCGUAUCUUCAAGCAGAAGAAGCAGUAGAGUGCUGAAAAAUGAUCUUCUUCUACACGAGGCGGUCAUCAAAAAUGACCCGGAUGCGGUUAAAAAAGUACUCAAGGAGCACGUGGACAUAAACUCUAGGAAUAAUUAUGGAAGAGCCCCCAUCCACUGGGCCGCGUCGCGAGGGGCCACAGACAUCAUGGAGCUUCUGAUCAACGCUAAAUGCGACAUCGAGGCCAGAGAUCGGUACGGUAUGAGACCCCUACUAAUGGCGGCGUGGCACGGACACACGGAGGCAGUUCAACUACUCAUCAACUGUGGAGCCAGUGUGGUAGCCACCAACAAGAAGCAGUAUACUCUGCUGAUGUGCGCUGCUCGCAACAACCGGUUGUCCGUGGUGAACUUCCUGCUGGACUCUCUGGAGCACAUAGAUGUGGACCUGGUAGAUCAGGAGCGGCAGACGGCACUGCACCACGCCGCCCAGGCCGGCCACAGGGAGGUGGUCUCAAGGAUAGUGCAAGCUGGUGCCAACACCAAACUACUUAAUAAGCAAGGUCGGACAGCUCUGCACAUGGCUUGUGAGAAGGGUCACUUAGACGUCGUGGAGUUCCUGCUCAGACACGAGGCUCAGAUUGAGGCGAGAGACGAGGAGGGAAACACACCAUUACAUCUUGCGGUGGAAAACAAACACCUGAUGGUGACUCAACUUCUGCUGGAGUACGGCACACCACCCGACGUCGACAACCAAAAAGGUAUGACUCCGCUGCAUGUUGCUAGCAGUCUUGGCUGUCGCGGUAUAAUUGACACUCUACUACAGUAUGGCAGUGAUGUCGACAAACAGAGCAAGAACGGCAACACUCCUCUUCAUCAGGCCAGCGAAGCCAACGAUUGUGAAACCGUAGAGCUGCUCAUUGCAAAGGGAGCAGAUCUCAAUGCACUCAAUGCGAGGCUGCAAUCUCCUAUCCAUAUAGCAGCAGAGCAUGGUUUCACAGAUAUAUGCAAAGUUCUACUAGCAGCUGGAGCAAACAUUGAGCAGAGGGAACAGGGUGGGAGAACACCUCUGUAUAUAGCUGCUAGAGGGAGCUUCACUGCUAUUGUGGACAUGAUCAUCAGAACGGCUCGGCUAGACUAUCCGGAGCCUUGCGGGGUUGCAGGAGGAGAGUGCGGAGGCGGGACACCAGAGUGCAGCUCGGAGGAAGUGGAGGCUACAGAAGGAAGGGCGCGGGAGUGUAGGGGAGACGAACGACAGACUCAAACAGGUGUUGUGGAAGUUGGCGCACAAACAGCUGGACGCUGCGGACUGGAAGAGGCUUGCGCAUCACUGGGCGUUCACGGAAGAGCAGAUCAAGGCGAUAGAGCACCAGUACACAGGUACGUUCGGGCCAAACAGUCACAAGGAUCACGCGUACAGGAUGUUAGUGAUAUGGAGCGAGGGGUUGAACCAGGAGGUUAAUCCUGUCAAAAGCCUGUGUGAAGGCCUUUGUGCGAUAAACAAGAAGAGUCUAGCAGAGUCCAUCAAGAAAAAGAUGAACGAAGACAUUGACCUGCCUCAGAAGGACGGGCCAAAAUGUUGUACGAGAUGUUCGGUGUUAUAGUUUUUGCGGCCCUGGCACCAGACUGUCCCAGCAGUACCUCGCCUGAAAAUUCCUUUCGACAUUUCUUGCUAUUCUAUUCGAUGUCCUCUCUCGACGUAAGACUACAGCUGCAUUUAUCGUUGUUAUCAGAUAUGUCACUAUUUGUUUUUAACUCUUUAAUGGGAACAAGAUGUUUCCAAAAAGUCUUCCUCAUGAUUCUGAAGAUAAUGUAAGGAGUAAAUGUUUUGAUGUAUUAAGGCAUUUUUCAGUUUUGCAUCAGUGUUAACAAAAUUUAAAUGUAAAUUGGGAUAUGUAUUUUCAUAAAUGUUUACACAGCCAUAAUUCAGCCGAAAAAUAUUUAGUCAAAAAAUAUUUAGUUAGGAUGUAAAGCUCACAAUCAAUGCCUUUUGUUUGGUUUCAAUACAAUUCUCGAAACUAUUUUUGUUAUAAUAUUUUGUAUAAGAUACGAUUUAAAUCAUUUUGGAUAUUAGUCAUACACAACUUAUACGUACAACCUAGAUUGAACAAUCAAUUAUUGCUAUUUUAAAAUACAACUUGGGUCUUCCAUCAAGGAUUUUUUAACUAUAAAUGACCGGUUUAAAUUACGUUUGUAUCUAACAAUCUAUCAGUUACUUAGCACCGACUGAUGCCACGACCAAAACGUAGAAAACAUAGAGAUUUUAAGGAAUAAUAGUUGAUUACUUUAGAAAUAUAAAUCUAUAAGACUGUAAUAAUAUUUAUAGUAAUAAAGUGUUUAGCUAGUCGCACUAAUAAUAGCAUUUUGUGACAUAUCUAUAGAGAAAUUUACUAUUUAUAACAUAUAAUUUAUAAUACGAUUAGCUUUAAAAGUCUAGCCUUAAUAGGUAUUUUAAAUACAUUAAAGUAAAGUCAACAAGACAAAUAUCUAAAACCCUCAAGUGUAAAAUCAAGACUUGCAUUGAAAUAUUUUUUUUUAAUUCAUUUGGUUUGUUAGAUAUAAUUUCUAAAAGUAUAAGUGUUCUUCAAGCAAAGCUUGAAGUUGUUCAAACAUUUUGUAAACAAAAACAAGUUUCAACACUCAACAACCACCAAUUCGUUUACUCCAUUUCAAAGUUUAAACAGUACAUCACACACGAAACUAGUAUGUAAAUUAGUUUUGUAUCUAAAUGUAAUUUAAACUUGUGUGUAAAGAAACUAUUUUAAAUAAUAACUGGUCAAACUGUACUAAUAUGUAUUAAUUGCAUUGGGUAAUACUUUGCAAUGAAGAUUAUUUCCCUAG